rnacentral:rRNA from 1 species
UACGUAGGGAGCGAGCGUUGUCCGGAUUUACUGGGUGUAAAGGGUGCGUAGGCGGGCUUGCAAGUCAGACGUGAAAUACCGGGGCUUAACUCCGGGGCUGCGUUUGAAACUGCAGGUCUUGAGUGAAGUAGAGGCAGGCGGAAUUCCUAGUGUAGCGGUGAAAUGCGUAGAUAUUAGGAGGAACACCAGUGGCGAAGGCGGCCUGCUGGGCUUUAACUGACGCUGAGGCACGAAAGCAUGGGGAGCAAACAGG